CCAGACUCCUACGGGAGGCAGCAGUGGGGGAUAUUGCACAAUGGGGGGAACCCUGAUGCAGCGACGCCGCGUGGGUGAAGAAGCGCCUCGGCGCGUAAAGCCCUGUCAGCAGGGAAGAAGAAAGACGGUACCUGACUAAGAAGCCCCGGCUAACUACGUGCCAGCAGCCGCGGUAAUACGUAGGGGGCUAGCGUUAUCCGGAAUUACUGGGCGUAAAGGGUGCGUAGGUGGUUUCUUAAGUCAGAGGUGAAAGGCUACGGCUCAACCGUAGUAAGCCUUUGAAACUGGGGAACUUGAGUGCAGGAGAGGAGAGUGGAAUUCCUAGUGUAGCGGUGAAAUGCGUAGAUAUUAGGAGGAACACCAGUGGCGAAGGCGGCUUACUGGACUGUAAAUGACGCUGAGGCUCGAAAGCGUGGGGAGCAAACAGGAUUAGAUACCCGAGUA
rnacentral:rRNA from 1 species